rnacentral:rRNA from 1 species
UGCCUAAUACAUGCAAGUCGAGCGAACAGAUGAGAAGCUUGCUUCUCUGAUGUUAGCGGCGGACGGGUGAGUAACACGUGGGUAACCUACCUAUAAGACUGGGAUAACUCCGGGAAACCGGGGCUAAUACCGGAUAAUAUUUUGAACCGCAUGGUUCAAUAGUGAAAGACGGUUUCGGCUGUCACUUAUAGAUGGACCCGCGCCGUAUUAGCUAGUUGGUAAGGUAACGGCUUACCAAGGCGACGAUACGUAGCCGACCUGAGAGGGUGAUCGGCCACACUGGAACUGAGACACGGUCCAGACUCCUACGGGAGGCAGCAGUAGGGAAUCUUCCGCAAUGGGCGAAAGCCUGACGGAGCAACGCCGCGUGAGUGAUGAAGGUCUUCGGAUCGUAAAACUCUGUUGUUAGGGAAGAACAAAUUUGUUAGUAACUGAACAAGUCUUGACGGUACCUAACCAGAAAGCCACGGCUAACUACGUGCCAGCAGCCGCGGUAAUACGUAGGUGGCAAGCGUUAUCCGGAAUUAUUGGGCGUAAAGCGCGCGUAGGCGGUUUCUUAAGUCUGAUGUGAAAGCCCACGGCUCAACCGUGGAGGGUCAUUGGAAACUGGGAAACUUGAGUGCAGAAGAGGAGAGUGGAAUUCCAUGUGUAGCGGUGAAAUGCGCAGAGAUAUGGAGGAACACCAGUGGCGAAGGCGGCUCUCUGGUCUGUAACUGACGCUGAUGUGCGAAAGCGUGGGGAUCAAACAGGAUUAGAUACCCUGGUAGUCCACGCCGUAAACGAUGAGUGCUAAGUGUUAGGGGGUUUCCGCCCCUUAGUGCUGCAGCUAACGCAUUAAGCACUCCGCCUGGGGAGUACGACCGCAAGGUUGAAACUCAAAGGAAUUGACGGGGACCCGCACAAGCGGUGGAGCAUGUGGUUUAAUUCGAAGCAACGCGAAGAACCUUACCAAAUCUUGACAUCCUUUGACCGCUCUAGAGAUAGAGUCUUCCCCUUCGGGGGACAAAGUGACAGGUGGUGCAUGGUUGUCGUCAGCUCGUGUCGUGAGAUGUUGGGUUAAGUCCCGCAACGAGCGCAACCCUUAAGCUUAGUUGCCAUCAUUAAGUUGGGCACUCUAGGUUGACUGCCGGUGACAAACCGGAGGAAGGUGGGGAUGACGUCAAAUCAUCAUGCCCCUUAUGAUUUGGGCUACACACGUGCUACAAUGGAUAAUACAAAGGGCAGCGAAUCCGCGAGGCCAAGCAAAUCCCAUAAAAUUAUUCUCAGUUCGGAUUGUAGUCUGCAACUCGACUACAUGAAGCUGGAAUCGCUAGUAAUCGUAGAUCAGCAUGCUACGGUGAAUACGUUCCCGGGUCUUGUACACACCGCCCGUCACACCACGAGAGUUUGUAACACCCGAAGCCGGUGGAGUAACCUUUUAGGAGCUAGCCGUCGAA